AGGCCUUAGCACGUUGAUUGGGUCCCAAAAUUAGUUAACAGCCCAACGUGUUUGGGCUUCAAGCAUUUACCGUUCACUUUCCUUCUUCGUUCUCCUUCGAGGUCGUGGGGCGGCGAAACUCAUCUGCUCGCCAACUAGCCUCCGCCUCCGCAGCUGUUCUUGGUCCGCCCGCGCCGCCAUUCUUCGUACCCCUGCGACGGCGAAUCGCACUCCGGCAUGGACAGCUCAAUUAGGUUAGCUCCGCCUGUACCGCCAUUGUUGGUCAAUGCGUUACUCUCCAUUUCUAGGAGCCACUAAUUUAUGUGGAGGCGUCCAACUCUUCUCGUGCAGAUGGUGGAGGUGUUGUCAGUCAAAGUGCUCGAAGUUAGAUUUGUUUGUUUGAUCCAAGGAGCAUUGCUGGAAUUUUUGGGCAUUUGGCCUUUGACACAUGGCCCAUUAUCAAAUUCUGAAACUCACAUGACCCAUUCCAAAAAUCAGUGGCAGCACUAGUAGGAGCUAAAGUUUAGUCUCACAUUGCUAGUUGGGAGAGAGUUGUAGUGGUAUAUAGGGUGGGCUAUUCUAGUCCUAGUAAGUGAGUGACCCUCGCGCACUCCUCCUCCGUCGCCGCCCGCCUCGCCUCGCCACGACGCGCCGCGGGUUGCGGGAAUCUCGCUGAGCCGAGCUUAUCUUUUUGCUGUUCGGGAAAUUAAUUGUGUAAUCAAUUUUGAGUCAUUAACGGACGCGUUACUCGGCCGUUCUGCCUUCCGGUUUUUCUGGAUUGUGGCUGUGCCGACUCGGACGUGGGCUGCGCCCCACGACCUUCCCGAACCGCACUACAUAAGACCCUGCGCAACCCUAGCCGCCACGCCCAGACGCAUAUGCGACUACCUGUUUCCAGUUCAUUGCGCCGCCGCCUUCGUCUUCCUCAUCCCGUCCGUCGGCGUGCACCGACUGCCGGGACAGUAGGCCUCCGGAACCCUGCCUCUCGUGAACCUGUACGGGUGAGGGGCAAUCAUGUUUUUGGGGAGCGCUCCGGCGCGACUACUGGCAUCACGACGUCGUUAUCGGACGACGAGUUCCUCCACACCGACAACUUCUUCCCGGACCUCAGCGACUUCUUCGACAACCUCAACAUGGGCGACAACGACGCUGCUGCGAAGUAUGUGAUCUUGUCGUUUCUCUUUCAGUUUAUGUUAGAGUUUCUUCUUCUAGUUUAUGUGGUAGAUGCGAUCGGUUUGUCUUGUUUAGAUGUGAUCUGUUCAUCUACAUUACUAGUCUGCAUGAUUAGUUUAUUUGUUAUUUUCAUAGUCAUGAUUUAUCAAUUACUUGUACGGAUUAUUUCAUAUGGAUAUUUGCUUAUAUUUUCAACAAGUACUUCACAAGAGGAUUCUCGAUUGAUGUCGGCCAUGUAUCAGCUUACUAUACUGCCACUCCUAUAGUUCAUGUCAUCUCAUUAUUUGUCUAACAGAAAGAGGGAUAGGGGAGAGAGAUGCAGCGAUGUGAUAAUGAUGGGAAAAGUGGGUAUCCCCGGCAACAUCGGUAUCGACAACGGGUGGUUUCUCACGCUUACCCUCGCCAGGCACACCUCACUCUCUUCCCCCUCCCCUCUCUCUAGCAUCCACAGUACCUUGAGAGUCGGCCCGUGUGCUGCUGGGCCGAUCCAGGGCCACCUCCGCCGGAGUAGCCGGCCGGAGUAGGUCUAGGAGAGGCGCCGGAGUAGCUAGGGUUAGAUCUAGGUGUAGGAUUAGCUCUGUUGCUGCUUUUACCCAUGUGGAGAUUGGCGUUAUGCCAUUAGGGGUUCGGCCACGGUGGAUCUGGAGCGACUCCCGGUGGUCUGUGGUGGCGUGGCUGCUGGCUGCGGCGCUCCUGUGGACGGAGCCGAAGGCGGACGGCGGUGGCGCGACCGCGACCUCUUCAAUAAAGCUCGCCGGCUCCUCACCAGAUCUGGGUGUUUCCGCCCUGUUUUCCCCUCUCUCUGGUCAUCAUGGCGAUGGAGAUUGGGAGGGAAUGCUUGGCGAAAUCGUUGUUGUCGGAUCUGCUGAUGGGCACCCUAGAGCUGUUCUCGUCUGCGCGCAUCACGCGGUGACCAAAGUCGUCACCGUGUUCUUCGGCCAAGAUGGUGGCCAUUCUUCCUCAACCUCCAUGGCGGAGGCCCUGAAGGUCGGCUGCUGGAGCUCGACGCCACGGGAGAGUCAAGUGGUUCGUCCCCGACUCUCAGCCAGGGGCCUGAUCUGGUCGCCGGACAUGAGCGUUCGAGCACUCUGUGCUCAGGACUCGGCGGUGACGCCUUGAGUUCGCCGGCGGCAGGUGGCAGACUUGAUUGCUUUUUCUACCUUUUAGUCAGGGUGGUUUUUGUAAAUUGGAAGGCCCCUUCUUCAAAUACUAGGUUUUGUAGGGCAAGAGAUGUCAAGGGGCUAUCCUGUAAUAUGUACCUGCCACAUGGUUCUAUAUAGAAGCUCCACCGGGGUCUUCUGACCCCAUUUAUGUGCAAAAAAAAAAAAAAAACUCUCUUCCCGCUUUCUUCCUAAAGUUUGAUUUUGGUGCUCAAUUUUCUUGUUUGAUUCACUUUCCUACGUAUUUAAAUUGUCACCUUGAUCCAUUUUCUUUUACUUUCACAAGUCCAUCACAUCAGUUGAUUGGUAAAGAGGAGUCACGCAUUCACCAAGACAAGGUGCUGCAAGGAACGUAUCAGGAACAAUGUGGCUCUUUGUUUUGGGAUAUGCAUCGUCCAUAUUACAUUAUUGUGCUUCUCAUUGUACAUAGAGACGAGAGCCAACUUUCGAUGAUGUUUCACUUGUGGAUUUCAAAUGGUACGUCUGCAGUCAUUGCUACCUCGAUAAAAAAAAGUGAAAACCCAGGAAAAAUCGGUGGUGCUUGGUUAGUUAAAUUUCUCUAUUUGCGUCAAUUUCCAUUUAAAUGUUCCUUCCACUUGUUUUCAUUCCUCUGACAGCCAAGGUAGCAAUGACCAUUCUUCUGUUAUUGUGCAACUGUGUAAUUUUCAAGAGCUUUUGGAGGUACCAUGUUAAUAGGUUUGUUCAGAGGACAUACGUGACAUGACUGAUUUUGCAAAAACAGUAUGCCUCCCUCACUGUAAAACACAAUAUUAACAAUCCAUCUCUAUCAAUGGUUACAAUUUAUUCAUACAAAUAUUAUUAUGUCCCGUUUUACUAUUUCCUUAAGAGUUCACAUCUAAAUGGACCCGUAUAAAUCUUGAAAUGCAACUAUUCAUAUUGGUUUUUGUAUCAGCUAUCCUCGGCUAUGAUUCCUUUAUGUACUCUUUAUUAUUGUAUUUUUCUCUUGCUCUAUUUUCUUGUGGUUUUAAGUUUUAAAUACCCAAUAUAUUAGCGUCCUCCUAUUUGUAGAAAGAUCAGGAACAACUUUGCCUACCCCGCUAAACAGAGGUAUUUAACAACGAUAAUCUCUACAAUCUCAUUUGAACCCUUCUUUUUUGAAAAGGGGAACCUAUGUACAUAUGAUUAUUGUUGACUUUUGUGCUUCAUGCAUCUCAGGUAUCUGUAUAACCGGUCAUCUAACUGUAUGCAUAUGUAUAUCUUUUCUUCUCACGAGUGAAUACACAAUUAAAAAUCAAUUUGUGUUGUUUAUCUUUCCAUAUUCUCGUCUCAUGAAUUGUAGUUUAGAGAAUAUGCAAGAAACACAUUUACUUUAGUAUAUACCAGUGACGAUUAUUGUUGACAUUUAUAUGUUCUUAGAUUUUUUUGCUUCAUGAAUCUCAGGUAUUUGCUUAACUGGUCAUAUAAUUGUAUACAUACAUGCACCUUCCUUCUCAUGAGCAGAUACACAGUAAAAAAAAGAACUAGUUUGCUUCGUACAUAUUCUCUUUCCAUGAACUGUAUCUAUAUCUCUUAUAAAGCAAAACCUCACUAGAGGGUCAUUUAAGUUGUCUAUCUCAACAUGCAAGCUAUCCACAUCAUCCAUUAUAUUAGCCAUCCAAUUGUCCAUGUCAUCCCCCACUAACAUUCAUUAACACUCUACAUGCAAGCCACAUCAUCUAUUUUUUAAGCCCUCCAAUUAUCCACAUCAUCAACUUUUAGCCGCCAACUACAUAACAAUUUUAAGUCAGUUUUUUUAAGUUAGCCUCAUGACUAUUUACGCCAAUUGAAUCAUGCAUGUUCCUACAAAUAGCAUCCUAUUCCAAUCAACUUAUAUCCUUUUGUUUUUUACAAAAUAGAGUUAUCGGAGAAAUUCCCGCUGCAACGCGUGAGGUAUCCUUCUAGUUAUAGUAACAUAUAAAACCACAUUUAUGCAAGUAUAUCUCAGUUUUGCUGGUACCAUUUAUUUGUUUGUAUUGACUUAUAGUGACAUUGUUUUAGUUGGCGUGUUCAUUUAUUUAGGCGUACACCCUCCAUAAUUAUGUCUUGAUUGCAUAUCCAUAGCUUGGUUUCAUGUAAUGAUAUGUUCAAAUUUGUUUUCAAUCUGGAUGAUUAAGUAUUAUUUGAAGC